ACCGAAAAGCCCCGAUUAGCCCCGAACAACAUCGACCAGUGACGUGUGGAGGCGAUCAACGUCGUCGGAUGCUCGCCGACGACAUGUCUCUGGGUCCGACUGCCCGCAUCGCGAAAUUCUAGCCCGACCUACCUACCUACCUACCUACCUUAUACCUACGGAGCUUUUCUCCGAGAGGCGGACCGGCCACCCUUUAAGGAUCGCGUCGCGUCGCGAGGGCGAGAAACCUCCUCCCCGAAACUAUCACGGAAUUAAAAAGUGUCGCACGGCUAACGGAUCGCCGUUAGAACGCGCAGGGUGGAGUUUAACGGAGUUUAACGUUGUGCACGGUUUGCUGCUGGUGGUGUCAUAGCGCGCGCAGGGUUCGUAUAACCGAAGUGCGCGCUUAUGCGUGCGUCUGUCAAUUUUACUUGGUUGAUUUGAGAAAACUAUGAUCUCUACGGCGUAGUCCUUUAUCAUCGAGUAGACAGACGGUGGCUCUGCAGAUUAGAUCGCGUGGGCCGGCAGGCCCCAUGUCCUGAUCGUCCGAAUUGUGCCGAUGAAGUUCCACCGCCUUCACUUUUCAAUGAGCGUGCGGGGGUGACUGGAGUGAUGGGAUGGGGCCAGAGCCCCAUGGAGUUCGGGUAGACCCGUCUCCGGCCCAGCUCCCCAGCCUCCUCCGCAGUCGUUAUCUUCACUGGCCCUACUCGCGACGCAGAGGGUCCCCUCGAACGCGAUGGAGGUCGCCGCUGCUCACCAACAGAAGGAGAAGGACCCGCACGUUCACAGGCCCUGUGCCUUUGACAAGAUGGAGGGGCUGGUGCGGGAGAUGCAAGACCCUGAGAGAGGGGUGCCCGUGCGCAGCCAGAAGCAAUUCCUCACCUCGAUCCCGUCGGCGUUCAUGGGUGAGUGUCGUCGUUACCUUCGACGAGGCGUAAGCGUAACCGGCCAUCAGAGCCAGGACACUACAGGAUGCCUGCGUGUUGCAGGUUACGACCUCGUCGAGUGGCUAAUGGACCGUCUCGCCAUCGAGGAAUCAGUAGAGGCGGUCCAUAUUGCUAAUCAACUUUGCCAGUACGGUUACUUCUUCCCGGUGAACGACUCCAAGACUCUCACUGUGAAGGACGAUAGCUCUCUCUAUAGAUUUCAGACGCCGUACUACUGGCCCUGGCAGCACAGAACACCCGAUAACGUAGAGUAUGCGAUUUAUCUCGAUAAACGCACACGCAGAAAUAAGCAACGCCACGCCCUCGAGGAUUACGAAAUUGAGGCCCUGAACAGCCUGCGAAGGAAUCUACAAAACAAAUGGGACAUAAUACAGCAACAGGCUGAAGAACAGGUACGUCUUUCCAAGGAACGGAAAAAGGGGGACAAGAUAGUGAGCGAUUCCCAGGAAAGAGCUUUCUGGAGGGUCUACCGCCCCCCACCCGGAUGUCUGAGCAGUCUAGAAGUGGUGCCUGUGCCGACGCGCGGCCGUCCCGGCGCCCCGCGUCCACCCCCGAGAAAACGCACUCUCGCCGAUUUGCAACGCGAGGUAGAACUGCUACGCAACAGUUUGACGCGCACGAGAAUAAAGAUGUCGACGGCGAUCGAGAACCUCAAAACGCACUUCGAAACCUACACGGAGUACGAUCCGAUGAUCGUUCAGCCGCAGCCCUCUAAUCCCUGGAUCACGGACGACCAACUAUUCUGGCAACUGAACAGCCCCCUAGUCGAAGUGCCGACGGAAAAACGCGUCAAGAGAUGGGCUCUGUCGAUGGAGGAGGUCAUGUCCGAUCCGACCGGUUUACUGGAAUUCACGAAUUACCUGAGAAAGGAAUACAGCCACGAAAACAUUCGAUUCUGGAUGGCGGUUAAGGACCUUAGACGAAGUUUUCAAGGGCAAAUAAACGCGAAAGUCAACGAAAUUUUCGAGGAAUUUCUCGCGCCCGGUGCGCCCUGCGAGAUAAACAUUGACGGUAAAACUAUGGAGAAAGUUCAGCAAGAAAUGAAGAACCCGACGAGGUUCACCUUCGACGCGGCCGCCGAGCACGUCUACACCCUGCUGCUGAAAAAGGACUGCUAUCCGAGGUUCAUUCGUUCGGAGCACUACCGAAAUCUUCUGGCGGCGGGGGUGCAACCCUUGCAAAAAAAGAGAUUUUUCGGGUUCGGUGGCCAGGCGAAAAAGAAGACCUCCUCGACGACGGCCCCCGCUCCGGGCGGCCUCCAACAGCAGCAACAGCAACAGCAAACGAGCAUAGGAGGCGUCGGUGGAGGUCGGCGACGAGGAAGCGACAGAAGUCUAUCCGGAUCCGCCCACGAACUCGCUGUCUGCGGCGUCAGAGACAUUUCAUCCGCCAACAGAGUUCCCCACUCGCACAGCCAGUCGAAUCUCACCGAUAUACCUUACAGAGGAGAUCUGCCUUGUCUCGUAAAGAUCCCAGCCAGGCCUAGCCCUGCACAUGAUUUUCAGGAUGCUGGGGUGUCCGGGACGACGGUUGUUCGCCCCAUAGACGACGUUUGCCCGUGGGACGCGGCGCCGGGUCCGAGUUCGGAAUCCCUCGGAGACGCCGGAACGUCGUCGACUCUGCAGACGCAGGCCAGCUUCGGGGGUACCGAAGGUCACUCUUCGGACUCUAACGUGGUUACGGUAUAUCCCCACGAGCUGAGAGCCUCGCGAAAAAAUUCGUCGCAGUUGGACUCCGGCAGUUCGUCGUCGGACAUAAGCGUGGCGAUCGUCGAGGCUACGGAGAGAUUGCGCAAGUCGUGCGGACUGCAGCAGGCCGGUGCCGGAGGAUCGGUCGACCGUGGAGGUAAUCCGACGAUAACCCGCAACUUUUCGGUCGGUUCCACCGGGGGACGCGUAAAAUUCUCGGACACGAGUCGCCCCUCCGUAUCGUCGAACGAUUACUUCUCACCCCAGAGAUCGUUCGACCUCUCGCACCACGUCGCGGCCGACGCGAGGAACGAGAAGGUGACGACAAACGCCGCGGACGAGUCGUCGAAGGACGCCGAGAGUAACGAAAAAUUGAACACGGAGAAACUAUCGAGCGAUCCGCAAACCUCGCAGAGGAGGCCCUCGGUGAUGGCGCCUCUGAUAAGCAUAAGCGCGAUCGUAGGCGAUAUAGCCGACGAGUCGGCCGAUCUCGUGAAAAUCGGUGCAGAGGAGCUGGAGGAGUGUGACGAAGACGCGGAGGAGGUAACGGAGCCUGAGAAGGCUCAGGAUCGGCGAACUGCAGGGGUCGCAAAGGCGGACGCGACGCCCGGUAAAAUCGAAUCGGGCGACGAUCCGGAACUCGCGGAAGAUGCUCAAGUCGUUCCUGUCUGGGAACCGGACACCCAGAACGAGGGAACGGCUGUGGAAACUGUCGCCACGCCCCCGGAUCAGCAAGACAAUAAUGAUAACGAAGUGUGCCCAUGGGAAGAUGAAGAGAAUUGUAGAGUGGAUGCUACCUAUGUGAAAACCUAUUCGACACUAGGUUAUCUGUAAUCUGGCAUUCGAAUAGCGUACCUAUAUAAUCUUACGGAUCUAACUUUGAGCAGGUUGACGAUAGUUUGUUAUUAGAAUGAAUAUUCGGCGAUGGCUGCGACGUCAAGCGAUACAAAAUUUACCACGAUUAUAACAUACGUUAUUGUCAAAAGCCAAAGAAACCUAGUGAAAUUAGAAGAAAAAAAUAAAAAUAAAAACUAAAUAAAUACCUCGUUCAAAUUUUAAUCAUAUAAGCUAUACAUGGUCUCGGGGGUGUGAAAUGAAUGAAAAAUAAAGUAAAAUGAAAAAGAACAAAAAAACAUAAAACAAAAACCCACGCAAUAUAAUUAUAUUUACUACUGCACUGCAGGGUAUGAAGAUGAGAGGGAAAUUAACCAAAAAAAAAAGAAAAAAAGAAGAAGAAAUCUAAUCAACAUAUACGCUAAUAGUUUCAGAGAAUAAUUUGACGUAUAAUCAAACGACUAUUAUUGUCAACUAUAUCUUAACGUGUACGCUAAUUAUCAUAUCUCGUCAUAACUAUUCUAUACAUUUGGUGAAUUGAAGUUAUGAAUAUUUUUAAUUAUACUUUCGCUAACGGGGGUAGUAUACAUAUAUAUGCAGAUUAUAGUGGACAUAUAUAGAGUAAGUUCCAUCUCACGUGAGGAGAAAACCAAAAAAAAAAAAAAAAAGAAAAAGAAAAAACUAAAUGAAUUCGGGGGGGAAAUAAAGUAGAAAGAGAAGAAAAGAUUAAUAAAACUAUAGGCGACCGUACGAAGAUACUUGCGGACUCCGACGCAUUGAAUAUUUUAAUGCUCCCAGGGCUAAUUGUAAUACGUACUAUUAUACAUAUAUAUAUUUAAUACAUAAUAUGUAUAUAGAUACUUAUACGGUCACGCGUAUAAGGGUAAUAUAUUAUCGUAUAUCGCUGCCUAUAUCGUUGUUACAUUAUUUUUACCAUUAUUGAAAUAAUGAUUGUUAUUAUUAUUGAAUCGUUUAUCGUAGCUGUUAUCAUUAUUAUUGCGAAGGUGCGCUCCGUGGGUGCCUGUCAAUUUUGAGCCCUAUGACCUCCCCUUCGGAUCGCGCAAUUCCCUCCCUCGUAUACAUGGUAUAUAUUAUAUAUAUGUAUAGUCAUAUAUCUUAUCUCAUAAUUGUCGUAGAACGCAAUAUCUACUAUAGAAAAAAUAAUAUCGCGACAAAUGUGCUACGGUUCGCGGAAUAGUGAGAAGAAUCUAAUGAUUUUUUUCAAUUCUUCAUUUAUACACAUUGUUGUUCCUUAAUUUCUCGCUGUCCUUUUGGUGUUCGGAACAAUUUUCAUUCAAUCGAUCUUCGAACAUUCCAUAAUUUCGUAAUCUGUAUAAUCGAUUGCUUGGAGAACUUACAUAGCUAAUGAGAUUCGGUGCUUCGUUGCAACGAUCGUAUAUUUAUUGACGAUUUAUGUAUAAUUUUUAUACAAUACAUACCUAUGUCGAUUGUCUGUUCCGUGACCUGCGAACAAACGAACGAACGAAAUGAAUUAAAACAAAAAUACCGAUAAUCAAAAAAUGAAAAAAAAAAAAAAA
rnacentral:misc_RNA from 1 species